UGGGGGCUGUGUGUUACUGUAGGGUCUCUGUUGUUAUUGAGGGGUCUGGGGCACUAUAGGGGCUGUGUGUUACUGUGGGGUCUCUGAUGUUAUUGUGGGAUUUGGGGCUCUAUGGGGGCUGUGUGUUACUGUAGGGUCGCUGGUGUUAUUGUGGGGUCUGGGGCACUAUAGGGGCUGUGUGUUAUUGUAGGGUCUCCCCAGUGACAGCCCUUUGUCACAGGGAGGUCCCCAUACAGGUGUGUGACCAGAGGGUCCCCCCAGCUGCUCUGCCACCCCUGGGAAUCCGGGGGGGCGGGGGGGGCUCCGUUGUUAUUGUAGGGUCUCCUUCUGUAGGUCUGUUAUUGUAGGGUUUUCCCCACACAGCUCUCUCAUUGCGGUGUCUCCCCACGCAGGUUUGUUAUUGUGGGGUCUCCCCGUCUAGGUGUGUUAUUGUAGGGUCUCCCCAUGCCCGUUUGUUAUUGUGAGGUCUCCCCAUCAAGGUGUGUUAUUGUAGGGUCUCCCCAUGCCAGUUUGUUAUUGUGGGGUCUCCUCACGCUGGUUUGUUAUUGUGGGGUCUCCCUGUCAAGGUUUGAUAUUGUAGGGUCUCCCCACACUGGUUUGUUAUUCUGGGGUCUUGCUGUUCUGGUUUGUUACUGCAGGGUCUCCCCAUGCCCGUUUGUUAUUGUGGGGUCUCCCCGUCAAAGUGUGUUAUUAUGGGGUCUCCCCACACUGGUUUGUUAUUGUGGGGCCUCCCCACAAAGGUCUGUUAUUGUAGGGUCUCCCCACUCUGCUCUAUUAUUGUAGGGUCUCCCCACCUCAGUCUGGUGCUGUGGGGUCUCUUCAUGCUGGUUUGUUAUUGUAGGGUCUCCCCACACAGGUCUGUUAUUGUGGGGUCUCCCCAUCAAGGUGUGUUGUUGUAGGGUCUCCCCACACUGGUUUGUUAUUGUAGGGUCUCCCCAUGCCAGCGGGUGCCAGCACACCCCAGGCUUGCGCCCACUGUGCAGGUGGGGGUGACCUGGGUGUCUCGGGGGGGGGGGCUGUCUUCACCCCCCAUUAGCAAAGGUUCGUUAACGGGGGGACCCUGUCUGUCCCCUG
rnacentral:lncRNA from 1 species